rnacentral:lncRNA from 1 species
AGAUAUCACUCUGGGUGGCCUUCUUUUUGCUGUUAUUUUUCUAUGGAGGAUCAUCAGUAGCCAUGCCAGGAGCAGCAAGAGCUACUCCGGACCUCCAGAACCUGCUGGGGCAUGGCCUUUUAUAGGUCACCUUCCUCUUCUAGGAGUAAACAGGAUAUUACAUCAAACCCUUGGAGUCAUGGCCGAUAAAUAUGGACCUAUCUUCUCUUUGCAACUAGGGAUUCACAAAACUAUUGUGGUCAGUAGCUGGGAAGUUGCUAAAGAAUGCUUUACAACCCAUGACAAAGUCUUCCCCACCCGUCCAAAAUCUCUAGCAGGAAAACUCAUGGGCUAUGACCAUUCAGUCUUUAUAUUUCUGGCUUAUGGUCCAUACUGGCGUGAUACACGUAAGCUAUUAAUAGUUGAGCUUCUAUCCAACCAUCGACUUGAUGUGCUCAAGCAUGUUCGGGAAUCAGAGGUCAAUAGUUUUGUCAGGGAGAUGUAUGAGCAGUGGAUAAGCAAUGGAGGAGGUGGAAGCAAAGCCGUGGUGGAAAUGAAAGAGAGGUUUGGAUACCUGACAAUGAACGUAAUAUUGAGGAUGGUGGCAGGCAAACGAUAUUCUGGCACUGAAGUGUAUAGCGAUGUGGAGGCGAGGAAGUUCCAAAAGGCAUUGGGGGAUUUCGUUCAUUUGGCGGGGUUGUCUAUGGUUUCUGAUGCAGUUCCCUUAUUUGGUUGGAUAGAUGCAUUGAGAGGAUACACAGGUGAGAUGAAGAAUACAGCUAAGGAGAUCGAUCAUAUACUUGGAAGGUGGCUGAAGGAGCAUCGACAGAAAAGGGAAACUCUAAGCAUCAAUGAAUCAGAGCACGACUUUAUUCAUGUUAUGCAGUCUGUCAUGGAUGGUAGCCAGUUUACCGAGCAUGACACUGAUAAAGCCAUUAAGGGCACUUGCUUGGUAAGUUCCUUGCUAUUCCAAAAUUCAUCCAUGAAAAAACCAUAAAUGAUUUAUAUAUGUAACUCCAAAAACAAACUUCUCCUUUUAUUUCCAUAACAAUGGUCAGACCUACAUAGGGUGGGUCCAUAAAUGUGUGGGUGCUUGUGUAAUUUAAUGUAGAGUAUUUUGUAGAAACAUUACAAUCACCAUAUAAAAAAAGAAUUGAUGGAUAAACUUCCAAUAAUUAAUUAUGAGCCCUUGCUGAAAGAAAAUUCUAUAUUGUCAUUGUACAUGAGGAGAUUGUUUCUACUAAUUAUGUAUCAUGUUAUGUCUGCAAACUAUAAUUUUGGAUAUUCUGCAGUAGAAGCUCACUCUGAGCAUAUUUUUGUCCGACCAUAUUGUGCUAGACCCCAAACUUGUCAGAUAAGCUAUUUUUUGUAACAUUUGAUUGUAGAGUCUUAUCUUAGGAGGCUUUGACACAACCACCGUCACACUUACGUGGGCAGUCUCUUUGCUACUUAACAACCGCCACAUUCUAAAGAAAGCCCAAGACGACUUGGACAUCCACGUUGGAAGAAACCGCCAAGUGAUAGAAUCAGAUGUGAAGAAUCUAACUUACUUGCAAGCCAUUGUCAAGGAAACAUUACGAUUGUACCCUGCUGCACCACUAUCACUGCCACACGAAGCAAUGUCAGACUGCACAUUGGCAAGCUUCCAUAUUCCAGCUGGCACGCGGCUACUAGUUAACCUCUGGAAGUUGCACCGGGACCCUAGCAUUUGGUCCGACCCUCUAGAGUUCCAUCCCGAUAGGUUCCUCCCGAAACAUGUUAAUGUGGACUUUUGGGGUCAGGAUUUUGAGCUGAUACCAUUUGGCUCAGGAAGGAGGUCAUGCCCUGGGAUCACAUUUGCAGCCCAGCUCCUGCACUUGACACUGGCUCGGUUGCUUCAUGGGUUUGAGUUGGGAACCGUCUCAGACUCACCCGUUGAUAUGAGCGAAAGUACAGGACUUACUAACCCAAAAGCAACUCCUUUGGAGAUUACCCUCAGCCCACGGCUACCUCCUCAGCUUUAUGUAUAAAACAAAAAUAUCACCUACAAGUGCAUGCUCUACACGCUGCCCUAAGCUAUCAAGGCUGUAUGUCCACGCCAGAUGUUUAAGUUACUAUUCUCCAUUCCUUGAGCAGCAAUAAUUGUAGUCUUUCUUUAUUACUAAAAAAUAAGAUGUUAUAAACUGUUCUAUGUGAUAGUGCAUGGAACAGAGUUCAUGUAAGAACAGUUUGUUUUCAUAUUAAUAAAGAGCCGCACUGUCUCUAGUUCAAGCAACUCAAGACUAAGCAAGAUUAACUUUGUCCACAUAUAUACUUUUGUGAAAAUACAUCUCAAAUAUCCGACUGGGAAAUGACAGUUGACAUACAACAUACCUUGUGGAAGAGCUUGCUUGUUGAUUAGAGAAACAUCCGUGCCUCUACUAUAUAGUUGGCAAUUCCGACUUGACUGGCUCCUAGGCGGACAAUACUUUGCGAAAAGUAAGCAAAUACAUCCUAGAAGAUAGAUCUAAAUACCAGAUAGUAUCCAAUUAAAUUGAAAAGUGACCGGGGUCUUGCCUUGCCCGCAUAUCUGCAUUAUGGGUCAAUUUGAAGAAAUACUCCAAGCAUGUUUACCUACAUGUUCAUGGCACCAACACUUGAAGAGAUUCAUUACAACUGAAUGAAAAACAAUGAAGGAAAGUAAUGAAUUGUAACUAUUAUUUCCACCCAUCUUCUUUUGAAACACAGCAUGUAACCAUACACAUUUCAGCAGUAUAGCAAUCUUCUUUUCCUUUCUCUUUUCUUGCUAUAAUCAAAUAUUGUAAAGCUGGAAGGCCCUAACAAUUUAGUAUUCAUGCAUGUGGACACUCCCUUCUCCUUUUUCUUAUCUUGGUCUUCUGAGGAGAGAGAGCCAUAGGUUUUGAGUAUGGGUAUCACUCUAACCUAUCCAGAUUUAGGAGGAAAAAAAAUAUCAUAUCCAUUGUCGUUAUCAGCUAGAUCUAUAAAAAUUGAACGCUGAGUAAAUAACAAGAAGUCAAGGGGAAAAUAUGUCCACUUUUGAAUGAAGAAAAAAUUACAAAAUUACAGGGCAUACCCAAUCCUCCUCCAUAAUUCCACAGUCCUCUUGCAAGUUGCAAUGGGAAAAUGAAGGAAGAGAUGCCCGUUAAACUCAAAGACUCAGACUGCCACCCAUAACUUUCGUUGGACCAGUUUCAGUGAAAAACUACAGUUAAAUGAAAGCAAUUAAUAAAGUUGAUAGAAACUGACACCAACUUGUUAAUAAACACACACGAAACCAAGGUCAUCGAUAGCAAUUUAGAGUACGUGGAUUGGACUUUUCCCAUCUAAGUUUUCUUUAUGAUAUGGCUAUAUUUUCUUAUCGUAGACUUUUGGGGCAAGAGAAGCAUUAUAUUCCCUUCAACUGGAUAGCUCAGAACAUAACAAUAAGUCGGGGGGAGAAUCUGUCCUUUUCUGGAGACAUUCUUAUAUGUCUGCCUAACUUUGGAUUCAUUGUUUUCUGUAUACGUACGAGCCAACCCACUGUUUCAGUGAAAUUAAUAAUUAAUAGAUAAACGAUAACAAGAAAGAGUAAUAUAGGGGCCGAAGAGUGAUCUCUAGUUUACGAAAUGGCUCUCUACAUUCAGCUGAAAGACAUAACAGUAAUGUGUGGCCUUUUUUUGUUGGGAAAAGUACGCCACAAAUAAUCUAUAUCCCAGGAAUUAUUUUUCUGUUUUUGUGCAAUAAAAUAUAAAAUCAACAAAACCAAUUAUGAGAACAAAAAUAACAAAUAACCAUCCACAAGCAAGACACCAAAUUUACGUGAAAAACCCUCUAAAAUUAAGAAGUAAAAACCACGGGUCAAACUCCGAAUCUCCACUAUAUCACUAAUAAUGGGCUUACAAUAAUCCUCUCAAGUUUUAUGCCCUAAAACUUGAGGUUACACAAUAAAUUGAGAUAAUACAAAUUUACAUUUAAUUAAGUUGAGAAACCUAAUUAAUUUCACCACCAAAAAACACCCCAAGCAAUAAAGUCUUCAAGUUUUCAAUUGAACGGAGAUGAUGUCGGAUAUCUACGAACAACAAACAGUAAUUCUCUCAAUUUAUUCUUUUGGUAUCUUCUUACCACCAAGCUUCUCUAUCUCAUGUAUCAAAUAAGACUCCCUCAUAGCCUUAUUUAUAGUACUCUUCUUAAUCCAUUCCUAUUAUGGAUUAGAAACAAUUUAUUCUCUUAAUCAAAUUAAGGAUCACAUCUCCUUGUCUUGGUCACCAACCACUCUAAUAAGUAAAUCCUUUUUCAACUUGGAUUCCUUUCAUGUAAUCUCCAAUUCCAAUAUUGCUUCCAUUAACCCAAUUUCUAAUUGGAUUAAUAUCAAGUAUAUAAACCCAUUCUUUUCUAUCUUGGAUUCUAUCUCAUGGGUGAGGACCCACACCCAACAAUCUCCCCCUCCGAACCCAUGAGAGGAGGGAUCACCAACCACAACUCCUUACUCGGAGUUAAUUCCAACGAAGUCUUGGCUCAACUCAAUCUUCUUGGAAUUUUCAAAUAUCUUCAUGUCCGGCUUUGUCUCAUCGGCAUGGUUCUUCUCAAUGGGAGGAUCUAACUCAAACUUGACAGAUUUUUGCUUGCCAAAUUCAUUCACAACCGCUUUGUACCCUGGCUGCGAGCUAUCACUUUCCUUCUUCACUUUUGGUACCCAUUUAAAGCGAAGAGCUUUCUUUUUGUGGUUCUCAUGCAAGGCUUUCCUCCCAUCUCGCACGGCUUUGUACCACACCUUUUUCUGCCUAACUCCCCCAUCUUCAACACCUCUCACAUGCGCCCGCAUCGUAUAAAGAGUGUCUACCUUCUUACCUCUAGUGACCACUAGAGACCCUUUGGUGAGCUUCCAUUGACCUUCACCAAAGUAACUUUUAUAACCAUUCUCAUCAAGCUUACCAGCAGAGAUCAAAUUAAAACGAAUAUCUGGAACAUGUCUGACUUCUCUCAGCAUCAACUUGCAACCACUGUUAGUUUCCAAACAAAUAUCUCCAAUGCCUAUAAUCUUGGAUGCACUUCCGUUUCCCAUCCGCACAUGGCCAAAAUCACCACUACUGUAGGAUGUGAAGAUUUCACCACGCGAAGUAGCAUGGAACGAAGCACCCGAAUCAAUAAUCCAAUCAUUAACAUGACACUUGGGUUUAUCAUCACAAACAAUAGCUACAUCAACGUCGGAUAGAUACACAAUCGAAUCUUUAUCCUCAUCUUUUUCCUUAGACUGCUCCUUCUUUAAAAAUCUGCACUCUCGUCUUAUGUGACCCGGCUUCUGGCAGUGAAAGCAAAUUACUUCUUUUCUAUCUCUUGACCUUCCCCUGAAUUUGUCAUCUUCAGGAGAGUUUCUCCCUUUGUUUUUGCCCCUACUCUGUGCGACAAAAACUUGUGACUCAGCGCUAAUCACCAUAGUAUCUCUUCGCCUCUGUUCCUCGUUAAACAAACUAUCCUUAACUGUAUCCAUAGUUAGCUUGCCAUUAGGAGCGGAGUUACUCAACGAUACAACUAGCGUCUCCCAGCUAUCAGGCAAAGAGCUCAACAACAACAAAGCCUGCAUCUCAUUGUCAAUUACCAUAUUCAUCGUACUCAACUGAUUUAUCAAACUCUGAAAAUCACUCAAGUGUUCUGCAACGGAGUUUCCAUCCUUGAAUUUAGAAUUCACAAGCUUCCUAAUCAAAAAAGCUUUAUUUUGCGCCGACUUCCUUUCAUACAUGGACUCCAAUUUCUGCCAGAGAGCAUAGGCUUUAGUUUCUGUGGCAACAUGAUGAAACACACUUUGAUCAAUCCACGAUCUGAUCAGACCAAUAGUCUUCCUGUUCAUCUUGUUCCACUGCUCGUCACUCUUGUUUGUGGGCUUAACUCCAUCGUUCUCAAGUGACUCGUAUAAAUCCUUGCAGUAAAGCAAAUCCUCCAUUCUUGGCUUCCAAAUUGCAUAAUUUGUAGCCUUGAGAUUAAUCAUGCAACCUGCUGUCCAAUCCCCCAUUUAAUUCGCACAAGAAAACCACAAAAAAUAACCAAGCUCUGAUAUCACUGUUGGGAAAAGUACGCCACAAAUAAUCUAUAUCCCAGGAAUUACUUUUCCGUCUUUGUGCAAUUAAAUAUGAAAUCAACAAAACCAAUUUUGAGAACAAAAAUAACAAAUAACCAUCCACAAGCAAGACACCAAAUUUACGUGGAAAACCCUCUAAAACUAAGAGGUAAAAACCACGGGUCAAACUCCGAAUCUCCACUAUAUCACUAAUAAUGGGCUUACAAUAAUCCUCUCAAGUUUUAUGCCCUAAAACUUGAGGUUACACAAUAAAUUGAGAUAAUACAAAUUUACAUUUAAUUAAGUUGAGAAACCUAAUUAACUUCACCACCAAGAAACUCCCCAAGCAAUAAAGUCUUCAAGCUUUCAAUUGAACGGAGAUGAUGGCGGAUAUCCACGAACGACAAACAGUAAUUCUCUCAAUUUAUUCUUUUGGUAUUUUCUUACCACCAAGCUUCUCUAUCUCAUGUAUCAAAUAAAACUCCCUCAUAGCCUUAUUUAUAGUACUCUUCUUAAUCCAUUCCUAUUAUGGAUUAGAAACAAUUUAUUCUCCUAAUCAAAUUAGGGAUCACAUCUCCUUGUCUUUGUCACCAACCACUCUAACAAGUAAAUCAUUUUUCAACUUGGAUUCCUUUCAUGUAAUUUCCAAUUCCAAUAUUGCUUCCAUUAACCCAAUUUCUAAUUGGAUUAAUAUCAAGUAUAUAAACCCAUUCUUUUCUAUCUUGAAUUCUAUCUCAUGGGUGAGGACCCACACCCAACAUUUUUUUGGUGUUAUUUUUUUAUGGAGGAUCAUCAGUGCCCAUGCCAAAGGCAAAAAGAGGGAUUGCAGACCUCCAGAACCUGCUGGGGCUUGGCCUUUUAUCGGUCACCUUCAUCUUCUAGGAGCAAACAAGAUAUUACAUCAUAUCCUUGGAGCCAUGGCUGAUAAAUACGGACCUAUCUUCUCUUUGCAACUAGGGAUUCACACAACUCUUGUGGUUAGCAGCUGGGAAGUUGCAAAAGAAUGCUUUACAACCCAUGACAAAGUCUUCCCCACCCGUCCAAAAUCGUUAGCAGC